rnacentral:rRNA from 1 species
CGGACGGGUGAGUAAUGCCUAGGAAUCUGCCUGGUAGUGGGGGACAACGUUUCGAAAGGAACGCUAAUACCGCAUACGUCCUACGGGAGAAAGCAGGGACCUUCGGGCCUUGCGCUAUCAGAUGAGCCUAGGUCGGAUUAGCUAGUUGGUGAGGUAAUGGCUCACCAAGGCGACGAUCCGUAACUAGUCUGAGAGGAUGAUCAGUCACACUGGAACUGAGACACGGUCCAGACUCCUACGGGAGGCAGCAGAU